rnacentral:lncRNA from 1 species
AAAAAAAAAGUCUCAGUUCCUCAUCUUGCCCUGCUGGGGACGUCCCCUAGGUGAGAGAAUGAAACAGACAAGGAGCCCUGGCGGAGUUUUUCCAGAGAGUUGGGAUUUGUGUUAUUUUCGCGUGAAUGAUGAAAGCACUCCCAGGCUUAGCAUGACACAGAGUGUUUCUCUUGGUGCAGGGACACCUUUCUUCAAGUCCCCUCCAGAAGUGGCAGAUUUGUGCACAGUGGAUAUUGACCCUGGGUGAGGAACAAGCGUUCUUCUCUUGUUUGACCUCAGUGGCACAGAUCUACUCAGCAGCUACUCUGGGCCCAGCACUCUCCUGCGUGUGGAAGGACAUACUGGGAAAAAUAUUAGGAUGUGAUUCCUGCCUUCAUAUAGCUGAAGUCUCACAGAUGAACAAAGCAAGGCUCAGAGAGAAGAGGUAACUCACCCAAGGUCCCGCCUCCAAUUAAGGCAGGAUUGGCAUUGUUUUCCCUGACUCCUAGGCUUGAUUCCUCCCAGUAAUUCCACUCCAUGUCUUCUGCAUGAAAGCCUCCCAGUUCUCAUUCAGCUGCCCUACCUACACUCCUUCCUGAGGCACAUCCCUGCCAUGUCAGUUUAUCUGUAUCCAAGCUGCCUUUGAAGCCCUGAUUUGCCUCCUCUGAUUUGAUGUUACUAAUUUCAACUUGUGUUUAUUUCAAAUUUCAAGGCAGUAUAGGCAAUGGAAAUGUGGCAUAGCAAUGAACAGGGCCCCCCAAAGAAGCAUCUCACUAUCUAGGGGGGAAAAUGGAAGCAUUGCAAUUCCAGCGUACUUAGUACUAUCAUUCAUUCAUUUGUUCAAGUCAUUUAACAGAUAUUUACUAUGAGGCAGGCACCGUGCUAGACUCUGAGAAUAACUAGCAAGAGGUCUUCCCUGAUUGGAUUUCCAGUCUAGUGGGGAGGAUCAACAAUUAAGUAAGCAUGAAGAGAUAAUUUUCAAAUUGAGGAAAUGAGCAAUGUCAGUUACAUUUGGGGGACAGAUGUGCUACUUAGAGAGAUGCAUGGCUACAGAAGAGGAGACAUUUGAGCGAAGCAAAAGAAGACAUAAAAAGAGACAAUGAGUUGGGAGCAGUGGUGCUGGAACUACAGGGACUUUUGUGGGGAGCCUCAAUUUUCUUGGAGAAGCAGAGGGUGGAGACCUCAGACAGAGCUGGGAGCUGAGGAAAGCCAAGUACCUGGAGUGCUUUGGGCAGGAUUUUCAAUCCCAGGGCCAGCCCUGGCCACUCACCAUCAAGAAGCAGGAAGAUAGCCCUGCCCCUGCAGGCAGCAAAUCCAAAGAGAUGCAGCUGGACCACUUCACUGAGGGAGGCACAGCAUAAGUUUCUGCCGAAAGGCAAGCAGCAGGCUGAAAUCUGAUUUUUUUCUUUAAUUUGAGGGGGCAGGCAAAGGCCCUCAGAUGCCCCUGGCUUGUUUCACCAGCCAGCAGCACACCCCAGUGGAUUCUGGGUAUGUGCCAAAAAGCAGAUACAAACAACCUGGGGAUCCUGGAGGAGGCAGGUCCCAAGGUGAGGAGAGGGGUGCAGAGGGAGCAAGGAGUCCUAGAGGCCCAGAGUUCCUCAAAACUAUUCUAAGACCAGGAACAGGAACCGAAAAAUCUGAGAGAGGAUGUGGUGGGGCCAAGAAGAGAGCAUCAGGAAAACCAAACAUCUGUGUGCAAAAAAUGCCAUUUCUCAGAAAUUCACAAGGAAAGCUUCACUUACACCUGGAUGGGGAACUUGAUUUGGACCCUUACAAGCAUGCUCAUUUAUGUUUCAGACUGGAGUGCUCUGGAAGACAAUGGAGUUUCCCCUUUUAUCCUGCACACACCAGUCCCUCCUUCCAGCAACUCUCUGGUAGGCAUGGGAUUUUUCCCUUCCUGUAGCCCUGCCUUUGGGAGAAGUGGUGAGAUGUGAAUUGUGCAGGAGCUGGACGUCAGCGCUAACUGUCAAAGGGGAUUGCUCAGCGCCCCUUCCUCUCAUUGUGCUUUCUAUAACCUCUUGUGCAUGACAUUGUGUGCACUGAGGAUGUCACUUCUGCCUCCUACAGGGAUCUCAAGUCUCAGAACAAGCCCGUCAAUCCUAGGUAGUGUGGUGGGGAUAGAAAUGAGACAGAUUCUACCCUCAGGAAACUCACUGACUGAUGUGGGCAUGCUACACCUGCCUGUAUAGGGAGCCACACAUAUAAAAAUCAAGGACAAAAUCUAAAGAACCAGCUAUAAAUGCCACAGAGAAAUAUAAUUGCACUUAAUGGUUUUGGGGAUUGAUCUAAGCCUGGCGCACUUAUUUGAGCCAGGAUUCCUGAAAGAGGAGACCUUCAGAAGCAGUGUGAAAGAAGGGUCACAUAUAAAUCUGUGUCUUUAUUACUGUAGGUCUUCCCCACCCUCCUGCCCCAUGAACCCUCCUGCCCCAUGAACCCUCCUCUCAACUCCCCAGGCCUCUCAUGUUGAUGGUCACUCUGUCCCUUGAACUGGCUAUCACCUAGGCUGCAAGCUGACCUGCUCAGCAGAUCCUGUCUCGUCACUCACCAUGGCCCUCUUGGCUCAUGGCCUUUGACACAGAUUGAGCCCAUUUGCUGCAAUAUAGUAAGAGAUCAAUAGUGAUCUGUUGAAUCUUGAGUUUACAUUUUUUAAAAACAAGCUUUGCUCCAUUUUUUUUUUACGUCUUCGGUUUUGUAGUAAUUGGUCUUCUGGAACCAGGCUACUUUUAGGAGCCUUCAGCUUUAUUAUUUGGUAAUCCUGUGAAUUGUGUUCCAAUAUAAGACCUACUCUUAGGAAUUUCUGAAUAAUGUGACCCUAUUGCAAUUGUAAUGUUUAUUAUAAAUUUCCAAAUCGCUGCCGUUAUAAAACUGAAGAUUUAUACAGCAGCUUUGCUCCAGAGUCCAAACAGCUGCCCCUUAGGCAUGUUUUAUAAACAACUGAGAUUACUACAACCUGAAUUGUAGCUCUCAGUAAUCCAUGCCAAUUACAGGGAAUGCACAUGAGACACCAAUGCAUGUUUGUUUGCUUUCUUCCCUAGCAGAUUAAACUUUUCAUUACUGCAAUCACUUGCAUUUUUUAAAAUGGACAUCACUUAGGCCAAUUACAAAUUAUAAUGUCACCAUGCCGGGCUAAUUGUUUUGUAUUUUUAGUAGAGACUGGGUUUCACCAUAUUGGUCAGGCUGGUCUCGAACUCCUGACCUCAGGUGAUCCACCCGCCUCAGUCCUUCUUUAUGUGAUGUCAAAUAUAUCUUCUCCUCAAAGAAACUACCCUUAGUCCCUCUUGUCCAGUGCCAUUUCUCCUUUUUUGGCACUUCUAUCACAGACGUAUCCUGCCCCAACUGUGGUUAGUUGUUUUUCUACUUCUACUUCUUCACCCUUCCUCGAGAGCAGAUCAGAGCUCAUCGUGUUCCCGUGUAUAUCCCAGUGCCUAGAGUUGGGCUGUGGCAGCAAGCAGGUACCCAAUAAGACUUUCUGGACUGCAUUGCCUCCUCUUCUGACUGAAAAUACAAUCACUUAUGUGCCUCCUACAUCAAAUGCGUUUGUGAAACAGUUGAUACAGACGCUCCUUGGCAUCCAGGAAGCUGCAGGAGCAGGGUCUUUGUUUGAUGGUUCCCUUUGCUCUGCCUUGACUCACCAUGUGUGCAGUCCAGGUGGAUGAUAACAUUUAAUGUGAGCUGGACUCCUAGAAUUAAAAAGAAAGAGAACUGUAUGGACAGGGAUUCAGGGGAGUGUUUCAGAGACCAGGCAGAACUAUAAGGUGAGAAUGAAAGAGAGGAUAGGCUGAGGGAUAGACCUAGAAUAUUGGACAUGUUCAUAUUCUGGGUAAAAAACAAAAAAUGUCAGUGAGAGAUAGAGUGACCAUGUGUCUCAUCUGCCAAGGACAACCAGGUAUACAUGUUGUUAAACAGUGAAGUUUUUUUUUAAAUUUUUUAAUUUAAUUUAAUUUAUUUAUUUAUUUAUUUAUUUAUUUAUUUAUUUAUUUUGAGACAGAGUCUUGCUCUGUCGCCCAGGCUGGAGUGCAGUGGCAGGACCUUGGCUCACUGCAAGCUCCGACUCCCAGGUUCAUGCCAUUCUCCUGCCUCAGCCUCCCCAGUAGCUGGGACUACAGACACCCCCCCACCACGCC